CCUACGGGAGGCUGCAGUGGGGAAUAUUGGACAAUGGGCGAAAGCCUGAUCCAGCCAUGCCGCGUGUGUGAAGAAGGCCUUCGGGUUGUAAAGCACUUUCAGUGGGGAAGAAAGCCUUGGGGCUAAUACCCUCGAGGAAGGACAUCACCCACAGAAGAAGCACCGGCUAACUCCGUGCCAGCAGCCGCGGUAAUACGGAGGGUGCGAGCGUUAAUCGGAAUUACUGGGCGUAAAGCGCGCGUAGGCGGUCUGAUAAGCCGGUUGUGAAAGCCCCGGGCUCAACCUAGGAACGGCAUCCGGAACUGUCAGGCUAGAGUGCAGGAGAGGAAGGUAGAAUUCCCGGUGUAGCGGUGAAAUGCGUAGAGAUCGGGAGGAAUACCAGUGGCGAAGGCGGCCUUCUGGACUGACACUGACGCUGAGGUGCGAAAGCGUGGGUAGCAAACAGGAUUAGAUACCCUAGUAGUC
rnacentral:rRNA from 1 species